GAUGAAGAACGCAGCGAAAUGCGAUAAGUAAUGUGAAUUGCAGAAUUCAGUGAAUCAUCGAAUCCUUGAACGCACCUUGCACCCUUUGGCAUUCCGAAGGGUAUGCUCGUUUGAGUGUCAUUGUACUCUCACACUCUCCGAUCCUAUGGAUUCGGGGAGCGGUGGACUUGGGUGUUGCUGCCUUUCCUUGUGGCUCACCUCAAAUGUGUCAGUGCACCUCUUGGUUGGACAUAGUACGGCGUGAUAAGUGUCUUCGCCGGCACCUCGCAAGAGGGUGGCCGAUCGGGAGCUCUGUGCUUUCAAACCGUCUUCGGACAAUUUCUGACAACUUGACCUCAAAUCGAGUAGGACUACCCGCUGAACUUAAGCAUAUCAAUAAGCGGAGGA
rnacentral:misc_RNA from 1 species